rnacentral:rRNA from 1 species
CCUACGGGAGGCAGCAGUAGGGAAUAUCGGACAAUGGGCGAAAGCCUGAUCCAGUAAUGCCGCGUGAGUGAUGAAGGCCUUAGGGUCGUAAAGCUCUUUUACCAGGGAUGAUAAUGACAGUACCUGGAGAAUAAGCUCCGGCUAACUCCGUGCCAGCAGCCGCGGUAAUACGGAGGGAGCUAGCGUUGUUCGGAAUUACUGGGCGUAAAGCGUACGUAGGCGGUUAUUCAAGUCAGAGGUGAAAGCCCGGGGCUCAACCCCGGAACUGCCUUUGAAACUAGGUAGCUAGAAUCUUGGAGAGGUCAGUGGAAUUCCGAGUGUAGAGGUGAAAUUCGUAGAUAUUCGGAAGAACACCAGUGGCGAAGGCGACUGACUGGACAAGUAUUGACGCUGAGGUACGAAAGCGUGGGGAGCAAACAGGAUUAGAUACCCUGGUAGUCCACGCCGUAAACGAUGAUAACUAGCUGUUCGGGCACUUGGUGUCUGUAGUGCGCAGCUACGACAUUAAGUUAUUACCGUCCGUCGGGUAGGUACGGUCGCGAGAAUAAACUAACAAUANAAUAGAGCGNGAGAGUGCGACGACGACGACGAGGGAGAGG